UUAAAUGGGGGAUUUGCGAAGAGAAAAUGCGUGAUUUUGCUGAAAUGGGGUAUUUGCGAAGAGAAAACGCGUGAUUUUUGCUUAAAUGGGGGAUUUGCAAAGAGAAAAUGCGUGAUUUUCGCUUAAAUGCGGAAUUCUCGAAGACAAAACGCGUGAUUUUCAUGUUCAAUGGGGGAUUCUCGAGGAGAAAACACGUGAUUUUCGCUUCAAUGGGGGAUUCUCACAGAGAAAACUCGUGAUUUUCACUUAAAUGGGGAUUCUCGAAGAGAAAACACAUAAUUUUCGCUUAAAUGGGGGAUUUGAGAAGAAAAAAUGAGUGAUUUUGGGGUUAAAUGGGGGAUUCUCGAAGAGAAAACGCGUGAUUUUUGCUAAAAUGGGGAAUUCUCGAAGGGAAAACGCGUGAUUUUCUCUUAAAUUGGGGAUUCUCGGAGAGAAAACGUAUGAUUUUCGGGUUAAAUGGUGGAUUCUCGAAGAGAAAACGUGUGAUUUUCAGGUUAAAUCGGGGAUUCUCGAGGAGAAAACGCGUGAUUUUUGCUUAAAUGGAAAUUCUCGAAGAGAAAACGCGUGAUUUUUGGUUAAAUGGGGGAUUUGCGAAGAGAAAACGCGUGAUUUUCGGGUUAAAUGGGGAAUUCUCGAAGAGAAAACGCGUGAUUUUCGCUUAAAUGGAAGAUUCUCAAAGAGAAAACGCGUGAUUUUUGCUUAAAUGGGGAAUUCUCGAAGAGAAAACGCGUGAUUUUCAGGUUAAAUGGGGGAUUUGCGAAGAGAAAAUGCGUGAUUUUUGGCUUAAAUGGGGGAUUUGUGAAGAGAAAACGCGUGAUUUUCUCUUAAAUUGGGGAUUUGCAAAGAGAAAAGGCGUGAUUUUCGCUUAAAUAAGGGAUUUGCGAAGAGAUAAGGCGUGAUUUUCACUUAAAUGGGGGAUUUGCGAAGAGAAAACGCGUGAUUUUUGCUUAAAUGGGGGAUUCUCGAAGAGAAAACGCGUGAUUUUCGCUUAAAUGGGGGACUUGUGAAGAGAAAACACGUGAUUUUCACUUAAAUGGGGGAUUCACGAAGAGAAAACGCGUGAUUUUCUCUUAAAUUGGGGAUUUGCGAAGAGAAAAUGCGUGAUUUUCAAGUUAAAUGCUUGCUUAUCGAAGAGAAAAUGCGUGAUUUUCGUGUUAAAUGGGGUUUCACGGGGAGAAAAAGUGUUAUUUUCGCUGAAAUGGGGGAUUUGCAAAGAGAAAACGCGUGAUUUUUGGCUUAAAUGGGGGAUUCACAAAGAGAAAACGCGUGAUUUUCGCUUAAAUGGGGGAUUCUUGAAGAGAAAACGCAUGAUUUUCGCUUAAAUGGGGGAUUCUCGAAGGGAAAAUGCGUGAUUUUCGCUUAAAUGGGGGAUUCUCGAAGAGAAAACGCGUGAUUUUUGCUUAAAUGGGGGUUUCUUGAAGAGAAAAUGCGUGAUUUUCAGGUUAAAUGGGGGAUUCUCGAAGAGAAAAUGCGUGAUUUUUGGUUAAAUGGGGGAUUCUUGAAGAGAAAAAGCGUGAUUUUCGGGUUAAAUGGGGGAUUUGAGAAGAGAAAACGCGAGAUUUUCGGGUUAAAU
ensembl:lncRNA